rnacentral:precursor_RNA from 1 species
UGAAGUUACAUGAUGGUCGCUUCCUAGAGUAUCAUUCCACUUCAUG